UACAGAGGUCCCAAGCGUUGUUCGGAUUCACUGGGCGUAAAGGGUGCGUAGGCGGUCGGGUAAGUCUGAUGUGAAAUCUCACAGCUUAACUGUGAAACUGCAUUGGAUACUAUUCGGCUUGAGAGUUGGAGGGGGGACUGGAAUUCUUGGUGUAGCAGUGAAAUGCGUAGAUAUCAAGAGGAACACCAGUGGCGAAGGCGAGUCCCUGGACAACUUCUGACGCUGAGGAGCGAAAGCUAGGGGAGCAAACAGG
rnacentral:rRNA from 1 species